rnacentral:lncRNA from 1 species
AGUGGGAUCAUCGCCUCCAUCCCAUAGGCUCAACUGAAAGGAGAUUCUUCGAUCAGAGCACGGGGUGUCGUCCGGUACGUCCACAGGAUGAAAUUCAAUUCCUCAACCCAGAGGCCUUUGGCUUCAUUCAGUCGGGUCUUUAGUCCAUGCAGAAUGAUUCGGUUGGUUACUUUGACCUCGCCGUUGGACUGUGGAUGCCCGAUCGAGG